CGGAGGGAUCAUUACACAAUAAAAUAUGAAGGCUGUACGCGGCUGUGCUCUCGGGCCAGUUUUGCGGAAGGCUGAAUUAUUUAUUUACCCUUGUCUUUUGCGCACUUGUUGUUUCCUGGGCGGGUUCGCCCGCCACCAGGACCACAUCAUAAACCUUUUUUUAUGCAGUUGCAAUCAGCGUCAGUAUAACAAAUGUAAAUCAUUUACAACUUUCAACAACGGAUCUCUUGGUUCUGGCAUCGAUGAAGAACGCAGCGAAAUGCGAUACGUAGUGUGAAUUGCAGAAUUCAGUGAAUCAUCGAAUCUUUGAACGCACAUUGCGCCCUUUGGUAUUCCAAAGGGCAUGCCUGUUCGAGCGUCAUUUGUACCCUCAAGCUUUGCUUGGUGUUGGGCGUUUUUUUGUCUUUGGUCGCCCAAAGACUCGCCUCAAAAGGAUUGGCAGCCGGCCUACUGGUUUCGCAGCGCAGCACAUUUUUGCGCUUGCAAUCAGCAAAAGAGGACGGCAAUCCAUCAAGACUCCUUUUCACAUUUUGACCUCGGAUCAGGUAGGGAUACCCGCUGAACUUAAGCAUAUCA
rnacentral:rRNA from 1 species